AAUUUGGAUGCACAGCAGAAAAUGUGGUUGAGAAAUUGGAAAGCUACUACAAACAUACUCUGUUCUGGAGAGGCAGUAUGAAGUGUGCAUUGAAGGAAGACCUGGGACUGCAUUUUAGCUCUGCCACCUCGAGGGACAGAGCAAUCAGUUGGAAGGUAUUUCCCCUCCCUGGUUUCUUCCAGUCCAGAACAGAGCACUGGGGGCAGACCCAAUGGGAUGGCUGGUGUGACUCCUCAGUGGACUCUGCCCUGAAGAGGUGACGUGUUCUCCAAAGGGCCCAAGUUAGUAUCCCAAGAGCCUCAGCAAAGGGACUGUGUUCUCCCCCUAUCAAGCCAAGAAAGAAAAAGACUGAAAACUUCAAUAAGGCAAAGGUGAUAAAAAUGUCUUCAUGGACCCUUGGGUAAAAUGGAUUGUCAGUCAGAUGAUCUGGGUUGAAGAUCUGGCUUUGAUGCUAACCACCUACUGACCAGGAGAACAGGAUUUUGUCACUUAGGUGCCCAAUGCUGGACUCCUGAAGACCACAGCUCAGUCAUGUGAGAUACCUGUCAACCAUGAGGAAGCCCAAAGGAUGGAUCAGUUCAAGGUGAGACCUCCUUGACAUUCUGUUGUAAGCACCAAAUAGAAAGCAAAGGCAAGAAAGCAGAUGCAUAGCCAAAUAAACUAGAAGACCAGGAAGACAAUGAGAGGCCAACAAGAGAAUCUCAGGAUGGAAGAAGAGAUUUUCAUAAAUGAAACUGGAGGUCUUCAGAAACUGCCUGAGUCAGCCUCACUUAAAAGUACAAGAGCAGGUAAAACUUGCCCAGGUAGUAACAAUGGAAACAUAUAGGGUUUUGCAACUUCCAGUUAGUGCAUGAGAAAUGUGCUAUAACAGUACAUAGUAGAGACCUUGGUUAUGGUUAGGGUUUUGAUCAGCAAGCCAUUCCCUCACCCUUUAAUUCCCAGGUCACACAGAGUGAGAGUCGACUAAGCCAAUAAAACAAGGUCAUGGACAUUUGCAGUAUGUACACAGAUUGUGAUGUGGUAGGCAAACUGGGAGUUAGGCAGGGGAUAGAGGAGAAAUAUUUUUUGGGUUU